rnacentral:lncRNA from 1 species
GGCCUUUCAUCUUAUUAGUUAGAAACAGAAGCCUUUGCAUCCAUAAGAUCGAAUGAGGUCUGGAAGCAGAAUAUCUUCUGUAAGUUUAGUAAGCUAUGCAAUAGCCACCUGAUGGCCUUCAGAGUACUACAAAUAAAUUUCCUCAGGAAGUAGAUGCUUUUGCAAGACUGAAGCAGAAAGAAAUCAUGACUCACAGCUGAGACUCUGGACUUUGGACUUUUGCCUUGGUGCUGGAACAAGUUAAGAUUUGAGGUUUUGCCAUCAAUGACAAACACAUAGCCAACAUGUUACUGAAUGGGGAAAAGUUGUAAGCAUUCCCCCCGAGAACUGGAACAUGACAAGGAUGCCCACUUUCACCAUUUUUAUUCAACAUAGUACUGGAAGUCCUAUCCAGGGCAAUCAGACAAGAGAAAGAAAUAAAGGACAUUCAAAUUGAUAAAGAGGAAGUCAGACUGUCACUGUUGCUGAUGACAUGGUUGUGUAUUUAGAAAACCUUAAAGACUCAUCCACAAAGCUCCUAGAACUGGUAAAUGAAUUCAGAGAAGUUUCAGAAUACAAAAUUAAUGCACACGAAUCAGCAGCUCUGCUGUACACCAAACAGCGACCAAGCUGAAAAUCAGAUCAAGAACUCAACCUGUUUAACAAUAGUUGCAAAUAAACAUACUUAGGAAUAUAUCUAACCAAGGAGAUGAAAGAAUUCUACAAAGAAAACUACAGAACACUGCUAAGAGAAAUCAUAGAUGACACAAACAAAUGGAAACACAUCCCACGCUCAUAGAUGGGUAGGAUCAAUAUUGUGAUAAUGACCAUACUGCCAAAAGCAAUCUACAAAUUCAGUGUGAUUCCCAUCAAAAUAUCACCAUCAUUCUUCAUAAAAUUAGAAAAAAAAUCUUAAAAAAUUCAUAUGGAACCAAAAAAGAGCUCAUAUCGCCAAAGCAAGACUAAGCAGAAAGAACAAAUCUGGAGGCAUCACAUUACCCAACUUCAAACUAUAUGUAGUCACCAAAACAGCAUGGUACUGGCAUAAAAACAGGUGCAUAGACCAAUGGAACAGAAUAGAAAACCAAGAAAUAAAGCCAAAUACAGCCAAAUGAUCUUCAACAAAGCAAACAAAAACAUAGAGUGGGUAAAGGACACCCUAUUAAACAAAUGGUGCUGGUAUAAUUGGCAAGCGACAUGUAGGAGAAUGAAACUGGAUUCUCAUCUCUCACCUUAUACAAAAAUCAACUCAAGAUGGAUCAAAGACAUAAAUCUAAGACCAGAAACCUUAAAAAUUCUAGAAGAUAACAUUGGAAAAUCCCUUCUAGACAUUGGUUUAUGCAGACUUCAUGACCCAAAGCAAAUGCAACAAAAACAAAGAUAAAUAGAGGGAACUUAAUUAAACUAAAAAGCUUCUGCACAGAAAAGAAAUAAUCAGCAUAGCAAACCAACAACCCACAGACUGGGAGAAAAUCUUUGCAAUCUAUACUUCCAGGAAAGGACUAAUAUCCAGAUUUUAUAAGGAAUUCAAACAAAUCAGCAAGAGAAAAACAAGAAAUCUCAUCAAAAAUUGGGCUAAGUACAUGAAUAGACAAUUCUCAAAAGAAGAUGCAUAAAAGGCCAACAAACAUAUGAAAAAAUAGUCAACAUCACUAAUUAUUAGGGCAAUGCAAAUCAAAACCACAAUGCAAUACCAACUUACUCCUGUAAAAAUGGCCAUAAUCAAAAAUAUAAAUCAAAAUAAAUAGAUGUUGGCGUGGAUGUGGUAAAAAGGGAAAACUUUUACUCUGUUAGUGGAAAUAUAAACUAAACUAGUACAACUACGAUGAAAAACGGUGUCAAGAUUCCUUAAAGGACUAAAAGUAGAUUUACAAUUUGAUCCAGCAAUCCUACUCCUGGGUAUCUACCCAGAGGAAAAGAAGUCAUUAUACCAAAAAGAUACUUGCACAAGCAUGUAUAUAGCAGCACAAUUUGCAAUUAAAAAAUAUGGAACCAGCCCAAAUGUCCAUCAAUCAACAAGUAGAUAAAGAAAAUAUGGUAUAUAUAUACACACACCAUGGAAUACUACUCAGCCAUAAAAGGAAUGAAAUAACGGCAUUCACAGCAACAUGGAUAAAAAUGGAGACCAUUAUUCUAACUGAAGUAUAUCAGGAAUGGAAAUCCAGCAUCGUAUGUUCUCACUAAUAUGUGGGAGCUAAGUUAUGAGGAUGCAAAGGCAUAAGAAUGAUAAAAUGGAUUUUCAGGACUUGGGAAAAAGGUGGGAGUACGGUGAGACUACAUAUCGGGUACAGUGUACACUGUGAGCAGUAUACACUGCUGAAGUGAUGAGUCCACCAAAAUCUCAGAAAUCACCACUAAAGAACUUAUUCAUGUACAAAAAAAAUAAAAAUAAAAAUGUUUAAAAAGUUUAAAAAAGACUUUGGGGCUUUGAAGGUGGAAUGAAGAUACGUGUAUUUAAGAAGGGCAUGAGUUUUGAGAAGCCAGAAGCAUAAUGGUAUAGUUUGAAUAUGUGUGCCCUCCAAAACUCAUGUUGAAAUGUAACCCCAAAUGUGACAAUAUUGAGAGGUAGGGGUCUUCAGGAGGUGAUUCACUUAUAAGGGCUUUGUCCUCAUGAAUGCAUUAACUUAUUCAUGGUUUAAUGGAUUAAUUGGUUAAUAGACUAGUGGGUUAUUAUGGGAGUGAAUCUAGUAGAUUUAAAGAAGAGAAAAAGAGACCUAAGCUAGCAUGCUCAUCCCCCUCACUAUGUGAUGCCCUAUAUCACCAUAGGACUCUGCAGAGUCUCUGCCAGUGAGAAGGCCCUCACAAAAUAUGUACUCUUGACCUUGGAAUUGUCAGCCUCCCUACCUAUAAGAAAUAAAUGUCUUUUCUUUACCCAGUUUUAGGUAUUGUCUUAUGAGCAACAGAAAAUGGAAUAAGACAGAGGCCAGCAUUACCCUCAUAGCAAAGCCAGGCAAGGACACUACAAUAAUAGAAAGAUUCAGGCCUAUAUCUCCAAUGAACAUAGAUGCAAAAAUUC